rnacentral:rRNA from 1 species
GGCAGUGCGGCAGCCUACACAUGCAAGUCGAGCGGCAGCGGGGAGUAGCUUGCUACUUUGCCGGCGAGCGGCGGACGGGUGAGUAAUGCUUGGGAACUUGCCUUUAGGAGGGGGAUAACCACGGGAAACUGUGGCUAAUACCGCAUAAUGUCUACGGACCAAAGCAGGGGCUCUUCGGACCUUGCACCUAGAGAUAGGCCCAAGUGAGAUUAGCUAGUUGGUGGGGUAAAGGCCCACCAAGGCGACGAUCUCUAGCUGUUCUGAGAGGAUGAUCAGCCACACUGGGACUGAGACACGGCCCAGACUCCUACGGGAGGCAGCAGUGGGGAAUAUUGCACAAUGGGGGAAACCCUGAUGCAGCCAUGCCGCGUGUGUGAAGAAGGCCUUCGGGUUGUAAAGCACUUUCAGUGGUGAGGAAGGAUGUAAGAUUAAUACUCUUGCAUAUUGACGUUAGCCACAGAAGAAGCACCGGCUAACUCCGUGCCAGCAGCCGCGGUAAU